rnacentral:lncRNA from 1 species
GUGUGUCUCAUCUCCCAAAAGCCGCCUCGCCCAAGGUCAUGCCUUUCCUGGAGCUGCCUGCAUCUGGUGACUGAGUGUUGAUCCUUAAUGAAAAUCUUGCUCCUUAAACUCUGUGUUAGAAUCAGCUCCUGGUGGAUCCAACUCCAACAGCAGAGGAACAGGAAGACUUUGUGUCAUGUGUGAUAAUAUCAUGAGGUUUCUCCUCAGAUGUGAAGGAGGUGAGGGUCCCUGUAGCCUAAUAGGGAUGGACUACAAGUCCAGUGAGCGAGAGAGCAACUUUGGAGUCUUCACUGAAGGAUCUGCAGGAAUGUGAUGACGACCAGGCAGAGGGUCCAUACUGAUAGUCAUCAUCAAUGACAACUGUCUGCAUCAAUGACAUGGCAACUUCCUCUCCAGAGUCAUGGUGGCAAGACACAAAUGACUCUAUUUCAUUUGAUGGUCCCCCUAUACUGACCCAAUCAGCAGGAAGUAGUCAGAAAGACAAGGAUGACCCUGUUCCUCUUAUAGCAUAUGAUUAUGUUGGGUUACAAUUGACAGUGAGGAGUUGUCGGCGCCACUCACAUGAACAGUCAUCUUUCCUAUACAUAUUAAAGAUUUUGUUCUUGUUAUCUUUAAACGAAAUCAGGUAUAAGGCAUUGCUCUGGUCUCUGAUGCUUAUCCAGUAAAACAGAAGAUUAUCAGGAACUGAGACCAGAUGUCUGCCCCACCUGGAGACCAGCCUCUUAUAUAACUGGCUUGUAGUCUUUGUUCUGUGAGAUGGUUUUUCCAGACAUUAGUCAGCCAUCUUCCCCCUUGCUGGCAAGCUGUAAUAAAACCCUUUCUCUCCUACCACCUUGCUUCUCCACUAUUGGUGUGUCUUGAGGCUGGCAGAUGACCCACCCUGGGCAGUAACAAAUUGAAUUUCCACACCAUGACUUUUUCCAGGGACCCGAUUUUCUUGGAGGAAGAUAAAAGAGGGAUACGCUUGUGCUUUCCAUAAAACUGAAACGUACUGAAAUGUUUUAAAGUAAAUUUAAAAUUGACAUUUUAUAUUUUUACUAUCACAAUUAUUGAUUUUUGUUUUUUACUUUUUUAUUUAUUGGCCUAUUAAAAUUGAUUUCUAUUUCCUCUUUUGAGGAAGAGAAAUAUAUAGGGGAAAAAACAACAGAAGGGUACUAGAAUAUUUUGCUGGCUAUCUGAGACCU